rnacentral:tRNA from 1 species
CAAAAUAUAGCUUAAAUAAAGCAUCUCGCUUACACCGAGAAAAUAUCUGUUAGAUUCAGAUUAUUUUGA